GAUGAACGCUGGCGGCGUGCCUAAUACAUGCAAGUCGAGCGAACAGACGAGGAGCUUGCUCCUCUGACGUUAGCGGCGGACGGGUGAGUAACACGUGGAUAACCUACCUAUAAGACUGGGAUAACUUCGGGAAACCGGAGCUAAUACCGGAUAAUAUAUUGAACCGCAUGGUUCAAUAGUGAAAGACGGUUUUGCUGUCACUUAUAGAUGGAUCCGCGCCGCAUUAGCUAGUUGGUAAGGUAACGGCUUACCAAGGCGACGAUGCGUAGCCGACCUGAGAGGGUGAUCGGCCACACUGGAACUGAGACACGGUCCAGACUCCUACGGGAGGCAGCAGUAGGGAAUCUUCCGCAAUGGGCGAAAGCCUGACGGACCAACGCCGCGUGAGUGAUGAAGGUCUUCGGAUCGUAAAACUCUGUUAUUAGGGAAGAACAAAUGUGUAAGUAACUAUGCACGUCUUGACGGUACCUAAUCAGAAAGCCACGGCUAACUACGUG
rnacentral:rRNA from 1 species